rnacentral:lncRNA from 1 species
AUGGAUCUGGCUAAAGGCGGAGGACUGGCCUUUGAGUUGGGCUCUGCGACUAAACUAGAGCCGUGUGACCUCGGGCAAAGUGAUGGACGCGUCCAAGAUCUCGGUUUCUUUCAGAGGGAGGAGAGAUCAGACACGAGAGCAUCCAGCAGUUUGAGCAGCAGGCAGGAAAGCCUAAGAGAUGCCUUAUACACACCCCAGAAAGAGCUCAUCACAGAAGAAGCCAAGUAUCACUCUCUGGCAGAUACAGCCCAUAAAUUAAAGAUGCAAAAUGGAGAGAUGACAAAAGAGGAUGGAUAGAUUGCUUCAGCCCAGACUACUCCACAUGGCACACUCCAUUCUCUUCCUAAGCAAAAGCUCAGAUGCUAGUUUACUUUUGGCCUAGAUGUCAGCAGCAUGGAUUCUGGAAGUGGAUAUAGGCACAGAAAUGAAGCCUUUUGGGACCAAGAACCCUGCAAAAAUCUGAUUCAGGUUUGUGUCCAGUCCUACAGAAGUACUCAGAAACCUUCACCAAUAGAGUUCAUGCAGAUCCAGGCUCCCAGAAUUGCAGAGUGCCUAGCAGGCUUCAAGUCACCUAAGCUACUGUUCCAGGGAACAAUAACCAUAUAUAAGGUGACUGCAUAUGUAAACAUACACACAUGCAUGUAGAAAUAUAAAAAUAUCCUCAUAUUUUUAUACACACACAUAUAGAAGGUAUUUAUGCUUCUGAACAGAGAGGAAGUGGGGAGGGGAUCCUUUUUACCCCCAGGAGCUUAAUGCAGUUUUUCUCUCAUAAGCAGCUUUUCCUACUAGUUACUGAGAAGAUAUUUUUCUCUGACUCUGCUCUAAGCAAAAUGAUGGGUUGGCAAUUUUUUUCCUACUGUGGAAUGGGAGAGUAAUAGAGACAGCAGCUGUUCAGACCUUUGUGUAAGCAGCCAUGAGGAGAAUGGCUGGCUAUGGACCAACAAAGAGAUUUCAUACCUUUGCUCUAUAGCAAAUGUAUUGGAAUUGGGAACAGAGAUUUGAGAUAAUCAGUUCUACACUCUAAUGUGGUCUUCAGCUUCAGGGGCUACUAGGC